rnacentral:tRNA from 1 species
GCGGGAGUAGCUCAAUGGCAGAGUGCCAGCUUCCCAAGCUGGAUGUUGCGAGUUCGAGCCUCGUCUCCCGCU